rnacentral:tRNA from 1 species
GGUCUGGUGGUGUAGUGUUUACACGCCUGCCUAACACGCAGGAGGUCGCCGGUUCGAUCCCGGCCGAGAUCA